rnacentral:rRNA from 1 species
UACGUAGGGGGCUAGCGUUGUCCGGAGUUACUGGGCGUAAAGGGCGCGCAGGCGGCCACGUACAUCUCUGGUGAAAGCCCCGGGCUCAACCCGGGAGGGUCCAGGGAGAUGGCGUGGCUGGAGGCAGGGCGAGGGCGGUGGAAUUCCGGGUGUAGUGGUGAAAUGCGUAGAGAUCCGGAGGAACACCAGUGGCGAAGGCGGCCGCCUGGACCUG